rnacentral:rRNA from 1 species
AUGUUGAUCUCACCAUGGAUGUGGUGGCCCUUACCACUGCAUAUCAGAUGUGGGAGCACCUUCGCCAUCGCUAUGAGUCUACAGGGGAUGCCAUGUAUCUCUCUGUUGUUCGUCAAGAGCAACAACUACCUACAACAGGGAGAUGCUACUGUGGAUGAUUUCUACAAGGAGAUGUCGGCGGUGUGGCGCCAAUUGGACUCUUUGGGAGCUGAUGUUUGUCACAGAUGUCAGUGUUGUGUGCGGCAACAAGCUAAGCUGGAGGUUCGUCGCCUCUACGACUUCCUCAGUCGCCUCCGGCCGGAGUUCGAGCAGAGUCGUGCUUAG